UGAGGAAUUUUGGACAAUGGGCGCAAGCCUGAUCCAGCCAUGCCGCGUGCGGGAAGAAGGCCUUCGGGUUGUAAACUGCUUUUGUACGGAACGAAACGGUCUUUUCUAAUACAGAAGGCUAAUGACGGUACCGUAAGAAUAAGCACCGGCUAACUACGUGCCAGCAGCCGCGGUAAUACGUAGGGUGCGAGCGUUAAUCGGAAUUACUGGGCGUAAAGCGUGCGCAGGCGGUUUUGUAAGACAGAGGUGAAAUCCCCGGGCUCAACCUGGGAAUUGCCUUUGUGACUGCAAGGCUUGAGUGCGGCAGAGGGGGAUGGAAUUCCGCGUGUAGCAGUGAAAUGCGUAGAUAUCGAGAGGAAUACCAAAGGCGUAGGCAGGUCACUGGACAGUUACUGACACUGAGGAACGAAGGCCAGGGGAGCAAACG
rnacentral:rRNA from 1 species